GGGUUGUGAGGUUAAGCGACUAAGCGUACACGGUGGAUGCCCUGGCAGUCAGAGGCGAUGAAGGACGUGCUAAUCUGCGAUAAGCGUCGGUAAGGUGAUAUGAACCGUUAUAACCGGCGAUUUCCGAAUGGGGAAACCCAGUGUGAUUCGUCACACUAUCAUUAACUGAAUCCAUAGGUUAAUGAGGCGAACCGGGGGAACUGAAACAUCUAAGUACCCCGAGGAAAAGAAAUCAACCGAGAUUCCCCCAGUAGCGGCGAGCGAACGGGGAGCAGCCCAGAGCCUGAAUCAGUGUGUGUGUUAGUGGAAGCGUCUGGAAAGGCGCGCGAUACAGGGUGACAGCCCCGUACACAAAAAUGCACAUGCUGUGAGCUCGAUGAGUAGGGCGGGACACGUGGUAUCCUGUCUGAAUAUGGGGGGACCAUCCUCCAAGGCUAAAUACUCCUGACUGACCGAUAGUGAACCAGUACCGUGAGGGAAAGGCGAAAAGAACCCCGGCGAGGGGAGUGAAAAAGAACCUGAAACCGUGUACGUACAAGCAGUGGGAGCACGCUUAGGCGUGUGACUGCGUACCUUUUGUAUAAUGGGUCAGCGACUUAUAUUCUGUAGCAAGGUUAACCGAAUAGGGGAGCCGAAGGGAAACCGAGUCUUAACUGGGCGUUAAGUUGCAGGGUAUAGACCCGAAACCCGGUGAUCUAGCCAUGGGCAGGUUGAAGGUUGGGUAACACUAACUGGAGGACCGAACCGACUAAUGUUGAAAAAUUAGCGGAUGACUUGUGGCUGGGGGUGAAAGGCCAAUCAAACCGGGAGAUAGCUGGUUCUCCCCGAAAGCUAUUUAGGUAGCGCCUCGUGAAUUCAUCUCCGGGGGUAGAGCACUGUUUCGGCAAGGGGGUCAUCCCGACUUACCAACCCGAUGCAAACUGCGAAUACCGGAGAAUGUUAUCACGGGAGACACACGGCGGGUGCUAACGUCCGUCGUGAAGAGGGAAACAACCCAGACCGCCAGCUAAGGUCCCAAAGUCAUGGUUAAGUGGGAAACGAUGUGGGAAGGCCCAGACAGCCAGGAUGUUGGCUUAGAAGCAGCCAUCAUUUAAAGAAAGCGUAAUAGCUCACUGGUCGAGUCGGCCUGCGCGGAAGAUGUAACGGGGCUAAACCAUGCACCGAAGCUGCGGCAGCGACGCUUAUGCGUUGUUGGGUAGGGGAGCGUUCUGUAAGCCUGUGAAGGUGUACUGUGAGGUAUGCUGGAGGUAUCAGAAGUGCGAAUGCUGACAUAAGUAACGAUAAAGCGGGUGAAAAGCCCGCUCGCCGGAAGACCAAGGGUUCCUGUCCAACGUUAAUCGGGGCAGGGUGAGUCGACCCCUAAGGCGAGGCCGAAAGGCGUAGUCGAUGGGAAACAGGUUAAUAUUCCUGUACUUGGUGUUACUGCGAAGGGGGGACGGAGAAGGCUAUGUUGGCCGGGCGACGGUUGUCCCGGUUUAAGCGUGUAGGCUGGUUUUCCAGGCAAAUCCGGAAAAUCAAGGCUGAGGCGUGAUGACGAGGCACUACGGUGCUGAAGCAACAAAUGCCCUGCUUCCAGGAAAAGCCUCUAAGCAUCAGGUAACAUCAAAUCGUACCCCAAACCGACACAGGUGGUCAGGUAGAGAAUACCAAGGCGCUUGAGAGAACUCGGGUGAAGGAACUAGGCAAAAUGGUGCCGUAACUUCGGGAGAAGGCACGCUGAUAUGUAGGUGAAGUCCCUCGCGGAUGGAGCUGAAAUCAGUCGAAGAUACCAGCUGGCUGCAACUGUUUAUUAAAAACACAGCACUGUGCAAACACGAAAGUGGACGUAUACGGUGUGACGCCUGCCCGGUGCCGGAAGGUUAAUUGAUGGGGUUAGCGCAAGCGAAGCUCUUGAUCGAAGCCCCGGUAAACGGCGGCCGUAACUAUAACGGUCCUAAGGUAGCGAAAUUCCUUGUCGGGUAAGUUCCGACCUGCACGAAUGGCGUAAUGAUGGCCAGGCUGUCUCCACCCGAGACUCAGUGAAAUUGAACUCGCUGUGAAGAUGCAGUGUACCCGCGGCAAGACGGAAAGACCCCGUGAACCUUUACUAUAGCUUGACACUGAACAUUGAGCCUUGAUGUGUAGGAUAGGUGGGAGGCUUUGAAGUGUGGACGCCAGUCUGCAUGGAGCCGACCUUGAAAUACCACCCUUUAAUGUUUGAUGUUCUAACGUGGACCCGUAAUCCGGGUUGCGGACAGUGUCUGGUGGGUAGUUUGACUGGGGCGGUCUCCUCCUAAAGAGUAACGGAGGAGCACGAAGGUUGGCUAAUCCUGGUCGGACAUCAGGAGGUUAGUGCAAUGGCAUAAGCCAGCUUGACUGCGAGCGUGACGGCGCGAGCAGGUGCGAAAGCAGGUCAUAGUGAUCCGGUGGUUCUGAAUGGAAGGGCCAUCGCUCAACGGAUAAAAGGUACUCCGGGGAUAACAGGCUGAUACCGCCCAAGAGUUCAUAUCGACGGCGGUGUUUGGCACCUCGAUGUCGGCUCAUCACAUCCUGGGGCUGAAGUAGGUCCCAAGGGUAUGGCUGUUCGCCAUUUAAAGUGGUACGCGAGCUGGGUUUAGAACGUCGUGAGACAGUUCGGUCCCUAUCUGCCGUGGGCGCUGGAGAACUGAGGGGGGCUGCUCCUAGUACGAGAGGACCGGAGUGGACGCAUCACUGGUGUUCGGGUUGUCAUGCCAAUGGCACUGCCCGGUAGCUAAAUGCGGAAGAGAUAAGUGCUGAAAGCAUCUAAGCACGAAACUUGCCCCGAGAUGAGUUCUCCCUGACUCCUUGAGAGUCCUGAAGGAACGUUGAAGACGACGACGUUGAUAGGCCGGGUGUGUAAGCGCAGCGAUGCGUUGAGCUAACCGGUACUAAUGAACCGUGAGGCUUAACCUUACAACGCCGAAGCUGUU
rnacentral:rRNA from 1 species